CUCUUGCAGAUAGUAUGCUCUUAGACCUUGUUCUGCAAAGUUCCUAUCGACAGAGUGUUCAGUUCAUUAGGAGAAUAUAAGAAUUAUAAAUGUGCAUCUUACAAACAGUCAAGGUUAAAUGUAUGACUAGAGUAUGAACAGAGGUGACUGGACAGGUGUCUGACUCAUGGCAUUGUAACACGGCCCCAUGUCUUCAGUUUCAGGCUAGCAAGAACUGUUUAUUUAGCUUCGAGGGCUAUUAUGAUAUGAGACUACAAGACCCACAUCUUCAAUGACAUAUAUUCUCCCUGUGACAUGAGAUUGCACAAGUAAUGGAUGAACAAAGCAAUUUUAGAGCUGAGAGAAGACUUCCAUAUUGCUGUGUUGGACUACAGACCCACACUGGAAGGAAAAGUGUAGACCCUAGGACCCAGACCUGAACCAACACAGAAGAGAAGCAUACAGGUGCUGAUCACGGAGAGUUGCCUGCGGUCACCUGUACAUAAGCUCACUGUCAUUGACACCACUCUCAGAAUAGGAAUGGGCUCUGAUUAGUCCAUGAGUGAAAUCAUAUUGCCAUAGCCACGGUGACUGAUGGGAUUUUGUCAGCAUGCAUACCUGUGUCCCA
rnacentral:lncRNA from 1 species